rnacentral:misc_RNA from 1 species
GAAAUGCGAUAAGUAAUGUGAAUUGCAGAAUUCAGUGAAUCAUCGAAUCUUUGAACGCAUCUUGCGCUCCUUGGUAUUCCUUGGAGCAUGCCUGUUUGAGUAUCAUGAAAUCUUCAAAGUAAAUCUUUUGUUAACUCAAUUGGUUUCUACUUUGGUAUUGGAGGUCUUUGCAGCUUCACACCUGCUCCUCUUUGUUCAUUAGCUGGAUCUCAGUGUUAUGCUUGGCUCCACUCGGCGUGAUAAGUUAUCUAUCGCUGAGGACACUGUAAAAGGUGGCCAAGGUAAAUGCAGAUGAACCGCUUCUAAUAGUCCAUUGACUUGGACAAUACUUUUAUGAUCUGAUCUCAAAUCAGGUAGGACUACCCGCUGAACUUAAGC